rnacentral:rRNA from 1 species
UACAGAGGUCUCAAGCGUUGUUCGGAUUCAUUGGGCGUAAAGGGUGCGUAGGCGGCGCGGUAAGUCGGGUGUGAAAUCUCGGAGCUUAACUCCGAAACUGCAUUUGAUACUGGCGUGCUUGAGGACUGGAGAGGAGACUGGAAUUCACGGUGUAGCAGUGAAAUGCGUAGAUAUCGUGAGGAAGACCAGUGGCGAAGGCGGGUCUCUGGACAGUUCCUGACACUGAGGCACGAAGGCCAGGGGGAGCAAACGGG